rnacentral:rRNA from 1 species
CCUACGGGUGGCAGCAGUGAGGAAUAUUGGUCAAUGGGCGCGAGCCUGAACCAGCCAAGUAGCGUGAAGGAUGACUGCCCUACGGGUUUUAAACUUCUUUUAUAAAGGAAUAAAGUGCCCCACGUGUGGCUUUUUGUAUGUACUUUAUGAAUAAGCAUCGGCUAAUUCCGUGCCAGCAGCCGCGGUAAUACGGAGGAUUCGAGCGUUAUCCGGGUUUAUUGGGUUUAAAGGGAGCGUAGGCGGGUUGUUAAGUCAGGUGGGAAAGUUUGCGGCUCAACCGUAAACGUGCAGUUGAUACUGGCAGACUUGAGUAUAGGUAAGGUAGGUGGAAUUCGUGGUGUAGCGGUGAAAUGCUUAGAUAUCACGAAGAACUCCGAUCGCGAAGGCAUUGUACUAGAGCAAGACUGACGCUGAGGCUCGAAAGUGUGGGUAUCAAACAGGAUUAGAUACCCCUGUAGUC